rnacentral:rRNA from 1 species
AUUGAACGCUAGCGGGAUGCUUUACACAUGCAAGUCGAACGGCAGCGCGGACUUCGGUCUGGCGGCGAGUGGCGAACGGGUGAGUAAUGUAUCGGAACGUGCCCAGUAGCGGGGGAUAACUACGCGAAAGCGUAGCUAAUACCGCAUACGCCCUACGGGGGAAAGCAGGGGAUCGUAAGACCUUGCACUAUUGGAGCGGCCGAUAUCGGAUUAGCUAGUUGGUGAGGUAACGGCUCACCAAGGCGACGAUCCGUAGCUGGUUUGAGAGGACGACCAGCCACACUGGGACUGAGACACGGCCCAGACUCCUACGGGAGGCAGCAGUGGGGAAUUUUGGACAAUGGGGGCAACCCUGAUCCAGCCAUCCCGCGUGUGCGAUGAAGGCCUUCGGUUUGUAAAGCACUUUUGGCAGGAAAGAAACGUCGCGGGCUAAUACCCCGUGGAACUGACGGUACCUGCAGAAUAAGCACCGGCUAACUACGUG